CCUACGGGAGGCAGCAGUGAGGAAUAUUGGUCAAUGGACGAGAGUCUGAACCAGCCAAGUAGCGUGAAGGAUGACUGCCCUAUGGGUUGUAAACUUCUUUUAUAUGGGAAUAAAAUGUUCCACGUGUGGGAUUUUGUAUGUACCAUAUGAAUAAGGAUCGGCUAACUCCGUGCCAGCAGCCGCGGUAAUACGGAGGAUCCGAGCGUUAUCCGGAUUUAUUGGGUUUAAAGGGAGCGUAGGUGGAUUGUUAAGUCAGUUGUGAAAGUUUGCGGCUCAACCGUAAAAUUGCAGUUGAAACUGGCAGUCUUGAGUACAGUAGAGGUGGGCGGAAUUCGUGGUGUAGCGGUGAAAUGCUUAGAUAGCACGAAGAACUCCGAUUGCGAAGGCAGUUCACUGGACUGCAACUGACACUGAGGCUCGAGAGUGUGGGUAUCAAACAGGAUUAGAUACCCCAGUAGUC
rnacentral:rRNA from 1 species